UACAGAGGGGGCAAGCGUUAUUCGGAAUUAUUGGGCGUAAAGGGCGCGUAGGCGGCCAUUCAAGUGACGGGUGAAAGCCCUCGGCUUAACCGAGGAACUGCCUGUCAGACUGGAUGGCUUGAGACCGGGAGAGGUGAGUGGAAUUCCCCAGUGUAGCGGUGAAAUGCGUAGAUAUUGGGGAGGAACACCAGUGGCGAAGGCAGCUCUCUGGGACGGUACUGACGCUGAGGCGCGAAAGCCGG
rnacentral:rRNA from 1 species